rnacentral:rRNA from 1 species
AUGAACGCUGGCGGCGUGCCUAAUACAUGCAAGUCGAGCGAACAGAUCAGGAGCUUGCUCCUUUGACGUUAGCGGCGGACGGGUGAGUAACACGUGGGUAACCUACCUAUAAGACUGGAAUAACUCCGGGAAACCGGGGCUAAUGCCGGAUAACAUUUAGAACCGCAUGGUUCUAAAGUGAAAGAUGGUUUUGCUAUCACUUAUAGAUGGACCCGCGCCGUAUUAGCUAGUUGGUAAGGUAACGGCUUACCAAGGCAACGAUACGUAGCCGACCUGAGAGGGUGAUCGGCCACACUGGAACUGAGACACGGUCCAGACUCCUACGGGAGGCAGCAGUAGGGAAUCUUCCGCAAUGGGCGAAAGCCUGACGGAGCAACGCCGCGUGAGUGAUGAAGGUCUUCGGAUCGUAAAACUCUGUUAUUAGGGAAGAACAAAUGUGUAAGUAACUGUGCACGUCUUGACGGUACCUAAUCAGAAAGCCACGGCUAACUACGUG